rnacentral:tRNA from 1 species
GGCUUCAUAGCUCAGUCGGUAGAGCAGCGGACUGAAAAUCCGUGUGUCGCUGGUUCAAAUCCCGCUGGAGCCACCA